AUCGCUUCUCGGCCUUUUGGCUAAGAUCAAGUGUAGUUUCUGUUCUUAUCAGUUUAAUAUCUGAUACGUCCCCUAUCUGGGGACCAUAUAUUAAAUUGUUUUUUGGAAUAGGGAGAUGGAAUAGGGGCUUGCUCCGUCCACUCCACGCAUCGACUUGGUAUUGCAGUAUCUCCAGGAAAGGUGCACCCCCU
rnacentral:snRNA from 13 species